UACUACAAAAAACCAAAACAAGGACGCUUAUAUCCUUGGCGCUUUUAAAAAAGCGUCAUUAUUUAGUUGGAUAUACACAAAUGUUGGCGCUCGUUUACUAUGGCGCUUUAUAACUGUCAUUGAGCUGAAUAUGCUUAAAGACGUUGGCGCCUAUUUUUAAGUGUCAUUGUGUACAAACAUCAACACGCAUCCUUGGCACUUCUCACAAGCGUCAUGUACUUUUUAACACAAUAUUUAAUAUUUUUUAUUCCCUUCAUUGAAUUAUUUGCACCCGCAAAAAGCAUAUUUCACAACCCGAUAAACCUUGGCCAUUUUCUUACACAUCAUACUAGAUGUGAGUAUAAAAGCCCUUAGAAGACCCAAACCCUCAGAGCAUAAAAAACCCUAAGCCUUCACUCCCUAUCAAAAACCGUAACCCUUGGAAGAGUACCAUAUUCACACCUCGAUCUAUAUUUCUCUUGACUUUUAGGGAAUGGAAUCUCAUAGAUUUGAAUGGGAACAAAUAAGAAGUGAGGCAGAAGGCAAUUUCGAGGUGAUUCAUCACAUUGUGAAGUGACAACAUGUAGUUGGUCAUAAACUAGAGCUAUUUGGGGUUUUCAUUUUCAAGAUCGUCUCUUUUGUGAAGCUACUAGAAGAUGUGGAGGUUUUCAUUUCAAGACCCAUGCAAAUCUGAUUUUGAAGCUAUCAAGAUGUGGAGGUUUUGGGCUAUCAGUGUUUUCCGGCCUGGUGUAAGGUUCUCAGAGAUUGUGGGGAGUUCGUACUAUAUGGCGCCUGAGGUUUUGAAGCGAAAUUAUAGGCCUGAAGUGGAUAUAUGGAGUGCUGGAGUGAUUCUUUAUAUUUUGCUAUGUGGAGUUCCUCCAUUUUGGGCAGAGACGGAACAGGGUGUUGCUUUGACAAUUUUAAGGGGGUGAUUGAUUUUAAGAGGGAACCUUGGCCGCAAAUUUCUGAUAAUGCAAAGAGCCUUGUUAGGCAAAUGUUGGAGCAGGAUCCCAGAAAGCAGUUGAUUGCUCAACAGGUGCUUGUUGGGUUGCUCAUAUCGUGAGUGAACAGAGCAUCAAAAUCUCACUUAAUAGCUGUUGCAGAGAGGGACUCAAAAAGGGUUUAUCUUUUGCUGCACCAAUUCCCACCCAAUAUAGAGAUUGAUGCCAUGAUAGAGAAGGUAUCAGAUCAAUAAUUACCCAUUUUUAUUUACUUCAUUAAUUUUUUUAUUCUUACUAAUGUAUUAUGCCCCAAUAGUGGAGUUGCCUUUAGAGAUGUCUGUGGUACAUCCCCACAGAUAACUUUAGAUUUGUUGAGGGUGAGCUCAAAGAAUUACACCAGGUAAGUUAUAGUUUUUUGUUUUAUGUAUCCUAUCACUAUUUAUUCUUGAUAGUUGUACCAUGUGCUCUUGUUGACUUUUGAGAUAUUAUUGAUUCAAGUAACCUACGGUGCUUUGGUAUACGUGUGAUUGAAAUCCUAUCUCUAGAACAGGCCAUUGCAUACAUACAUGGGCAAAAAGGAUUAUCAUAUUUUCCUUCAUAGUGAUCAAAGCAAUUAGUUUGGUUGGUUUUUGUCAAGGAGUUUGGCACCAUGUUGGAACUUUUAUGACCUUUUUUUUUUCUCAUUGUUAUGUUUGUGGCAUGGUGAUAAUUUCAUGAUUUGGGAACUUAAGAUAUGAAAUAGUGUUGAUUUUAGGUUAUUAUAUUUUCUCUUUAUUUAACAAAUAUAGGAAUAAUGAGGGAUAAUUUGGGAACUUAAGGAUGAAAUAAUGUUGAUACUUGACUCUUAUAUUCUCUCUUUAUUUAACAAAUAUAAGUAUAAUUAGGGAAAAACCUAGAACAAAUGAAAUUGAAAAGUACAAAAGUAAUACAGAUGAAACAAAAGAAGGAUUAAGUGUUGAAUUAUGUUGAACAAUUUAAGAAUGUUGAUUCUAAUUUGGGAUUUCUUCAUUAAAAUUUCAAAAUCCAUGAAUAAAUUUUUUACUUUUUAUAAAAUAUUUAUUGAGAUAAAUAGAGCAUUAAUGGUUUUGAUGUUUUGGAUAGAAAACAUAAAUUUCAAGUUGGUUAUCAAUUUGUAAGUCUAAAAUAAUUGAUCAUUGAAUUCACUACUUGCUGAAUGUUUAAAAGAAUUCUUCCAUGUAUCUUAAACAGAUUGAAAUUAAGAUGUUUUUGCCUGCUAGAUGUUCAAACAAUAGUGUCAUGAUGUAAUUAGAUAGCUUUAUAUAGUGCUAGAUUCCUGGGUCUAUUGUUUUUUCAUGAUGUUCAAUCUAUUGAGAAUGAAUAUUAAAAGAAGUUGCAAUUAGAGUUGUCAGACUCAACAUAAAAAAUAAAUGAUCCAAUCCAAUUAUUUUUGUCAUGGGAAUUUUUAAGGAUAUGAAUGUAUUAAAUGGUUAAUUAAAAAGUUAUAAGGUUUUAAAUAAAAUUUAAAACUAAAAAAAAAAAAUUAAAUUUCAAAUUUUCCAAAGAAUUUGAAAAAUGUAGAUAAACCUUUAAUUUUUAAUUUUAAUUUUUAUUCUUUAUUUUAAAAAAAAUUUAACUUAUCAAAUAUAGAUUUGAUUUUAGAGCUUCUUAAAGGUGUUAGUGAUAACGAAGACUGUUAACUUCUUACCGUUUUGGAUCAUAUAUGAAUUAUGUUAUUAGCUUUGAUAAAUAAUUAAGUUCCUAAUUUUUUUUAUGAAUAAAAAAGUUAAUAUUUUCUUUUCUUCUUGAAACACAACUCAUUAAAUGCCAUAAUUUUGUUAACUAACUUGCAGGAAGCCCAAUUCUGAUACUUGGAUUCUGUCUCCCUAAAGUUUUUCACCCUUUGGUUUUCAAUCUUUCUCCAGGUACACUACUAGAAUUUUAAUAGUUAAGUGAUGGUUUGGAUACAUUUUCUAUUUUCUUUUCUUCUUUUUUUAUUUUUAUUUUUAAAAACAAGAAUUAGUGUUAAGUUAUGUAUAAAAUUUGUUGACAUUCUUUUAAUCAUUCACAAAUUUUAAAAAUUUGAGCAUUAUUUUGAUCCUAUUUGAUAGCAAAAAUGAUAAUUAUUUUCUUACAAAUUCCUUUCAUUAUAAAAACAAAAACAGUGAGAAGUUUCAUUUUGUUUUUCCUUUUUUUAGUUCUUUUCUUUUCUAAAAUGUAAAAAUAUUAAAUUUUUUUUUUAUAAAUGAUAAGUCUAGAAUUAUUUUUUUAAAAAAAAUUGAAAAAUGUAUUAUCAAAAUAUUAUUAUACUACUUUCUUACUUUUUCUUCCUCUAAAGAAAAAGGAGUUUUUCUUCUUUGUAGUGUGAAAAAGAAAUAUGAAAUAAUAUGAAAACAAAAAUUAAAUUAUGAUUGCGCCAUUGCCUUAAUAUUGAGGUGAUGGUAUUCCAUCAUACCUUGAUGUGGUAUAAUCUGAUGGACGCUCGAGGACAGGCAAAUAUAGGAGAGGAGACCCUUCACAACAUUUACACUUGUGCCUCAUAGAGCAUGUCUUCUUCACCCCAUAUUUGUAAAUGAGGACCAUAUCCAAUGCCUUUACCAUGGUUAGUAUAAGGAGAAGUAAAUAAGCAAAAGUUCAUUUGCUAUACUAAUAACAACUUACAAUAUCAAUUAGUAAUACAUAAAAUCAAAACAAUUGCUUGCUCAUGGGUACUAAUAAACCUUGGAAAUGAUGAUGGAUGAAGUUUAGGUUGGGAGUGCUAGAUGGAAAAUGUUGUCAACACGAUUGCUUAAUGUAAAAAUAAAAUCAUUGUCAUGUAUGUUUUGAGCAAUAGUGAAUUAUCUUGAUUUGGCCUAGUAGUGACUCUCCAAUAGCCUUCCUUCUUUGCAACCUCCAGCAGGAUUUAAAAUCCAUACUAAGGUAUAUGCAUUGAGAUCUUUCUAUUGUUUUGAAUGUAUGCAGCGGGUUGAAAGGUAUGUUGACUUGAAUAGUAUGGGAUGAUUCAUUUUAUCUAUUUCCUUAGGUUAUCAAUUUUAGGCUAUUUGAUUAAUUGUUAAUGAGAUCUAUAUUGAUGCAUGUAUCAUCAUUGAUUCCUUAGGUUCAAUUGUUGCUCUUCCCUUGACUGCAUUAUUGAAAAUGGGUUCUUUGGCUUUCAACUAAAAUUCAAUGCCAAGGUUGCAAAGGAAACUAGUUUGUUGAAAGAAGAGAAAUCAUUAUAUUGAUGAAGGCAUGAUGACAAAAACCACGAAGAUUACAUUGAUCAAUGAACUCAUUAGGAGGUUAAAUUAGGUUUUUGUAGAUUAUGGUUUAUCUUAAUCGUCAUUGCAUUCAUGUUUGUUCUUUUAUUGAAGGACUUAGAAAUUGUUGUUGAAAUAUUUUGAUAUGAUUAAUAAAUUUGGAUGUAAUUAUUGUA